UACGGGGGGUGCGAGCGUUGUCCGGAUUCACUGGGCGUAAAGGGCGCGUAGGCGGCUGGCUCAGUCGGGCCUGUAAGUGCGGGGCUCAACCCCGUGAUGGGCUCGGGACGGGCUGGCUGGGGCGCGGUCGAGGGAGACGGAAUGCCGGGUGUAGUGGUGAAAUGCGCAGAUAUCAGGAAGAACACCCGUGGCGAAGGCGGCUUUCUGGGACGGUACUGACGCUGAGACGCGAAAGCGUGGGGAGCGAACAGG
rnacentral:rRNA from 1 species